rnacentral:tRNA from 1 species
GGAGAAAUCGCCUAGCUCGGUCGAUGGCGCACGACUGGAAAUCGUGUAAACCGUAAAACCGGUUUCGAGGGUUCGAAUCCCUCUUUCUCCGCCA